UUUCAUAUCUCUCUCUCUCUCUCAUUAUUUUCAUGUCCCUCACUCUUUCCUCUCUCUCUCAUUAUUUUCAUGUCCCUCACUCUUUCCUCUCUCUCUCUCUCUCUCAUUAUUUUCAUAUCUCUCACUCUUUCCUCUCUCUCUCUCUCAUUAUUUUCAUGUCCCUCACUCUUUGGGUCCUUACAGCACUGUGUUGUCUUUCCUGUUCUCUUCUAGAACCUUCCCUUUGUUUCCCGUGAUGUCCUCCUCUAUCCAUCUUCAUUGGGUCAAUAAACACCCUGGAGGAAGAACCCUCUGACUCCUCCCCCUUGGUAUUACAUCAACAUGCAUAUCCUGGUUACAUAAUGUCCCUGCAUGGAAACGGUCACCUGGCAACAGUAGACCUGGAGCUGUGUUCUACUCCCUGAAACUGAAGACAAUGAUCUCCUGGAUGUUUUAAACCCUUGAGAGGCUACUGGUGCUGGACUACGGAGGAGGGAAGAUGGUGACACACCGUGAUAUAGGACAUUAGUGCUGUUACAGUUCAUUUAUGACGGAUUAUAUACAGAUAUAUUUCUCAAUGUUCAGUGUUUGAGGGACAGUGUUUUGUAGGCGUGUAGGAAUGAUGUUUUUAAUGUUGUUUGUCCCCUUUAAAUAUGAGAGAAUAUUUUUGCCUUAUUUCCAUAUCCCCCGCCUGAGGGAGGCUAGAUGUGAUGAGGAUUCUUGAGAAAAGCUUUCUUGUAGAGUUUUCUUGUCUUAGAAAAAUUCCAUGAACUUUAUAGAUUAGUAUAUCCUUCUUCUUUUUUUUUAUCAGUGUAAAUAAACUUCUUUUUUUUAUUAAAUACCUUUUUGUUUAUACUAAACCUGAUAUUGAGUAAUUUGUCAAAUUCUGUUGCUGUGUGCAUGUUUUACUGUAGUGCCAUUUCCAGUAAAUGUGUGAGAUAUUGUAUUUCUUUGUAUUGUGUAUUGCCUGUACUGGGAUUAGAAGGCAACACUCACUCUACGACACAAUAUUAAUAUAUAUUAAAUUAAAUUAAAUAUUAAAAUAUAAUGCACCAGAUGUGUAUUUUUGAACAAGAUUUUUAACUGCACCUGUUGACUAAGCGACGACAACAAACGGCAAUCACAGUCUGUCUCCACAAACAUACUAAGUUAUGAGAAAAACAUGGGCAGUACAGUACUGUGUUAUCCAGAAUACAGUGUGUUUUUCAUGGGCAGUACAGUACUGUGUUAUCCAGAAUACCUUGUGUUUUUCAUGGGCAGUACAGUACUGUGUUAUCCAGAAUACCUUGUGUUUUUCAUGGGCAGUACAGUACUGUGUUAUCCAGAAUACCUUGUGUUUUUCAUGGGCAGUACAGUACUGUGUUAUCCAGAAUACCUUGUGUUUUUCAUGGGCAGUACAGUACUGUUAUCCAGUAUACAGUAUGUUUUCAUGGGCAGUACAGUACUGUGUUAUCCAGAAUACAGUGUGUUUUUCAUGGGCAGUACAGUACUGUGUUAUCCAGAAUACAGUGUGUUUUUCAUGGGCAGUACAGUACUGUGUUAUCCAGAA
ensembl:lncRNA